GAUGAACGCUAGCGGCAGGCCUAACACAUGCAAGUCAGGGGUAACAUAGAAAAGCUUGCUUUUCUGAUGACGACCGGCGCACGGGUGCGUAACGCGUAUACAACCUACCUUUUAGCGGGGAAUAGCCCAGGGAAACUUGGAUUAAUGCCCCAUAGUAUAUAGACUUCUCCUGAAGUUUAUAUUAAACAUUUAUGGCUAUUAGAUGGGUAUGCGUCCUAUUAGUUAGUUGGUAAGGUAACGGCUUACCAAGGCAGCGAUAGGUAGGGGUCCUGAGAGGGAGACCCCCACACUGGUACUGAGACACGGACCAGACUCCUACGGGAGGCAGCAGUGAGGAAUAUUGGACAAUGGGCGAGAGCCUGAUCCAGCCAUGCCGCGUGCAGGAAGACUGCCCUAUGGGUUGUAAACUGCUUUUACAGAGGAAGAACCACCCCCACGUGUGGGGGUUUGACGGUACUCUGCGAAUAAGGAUCGGCUAACUCCGUG
rnacentral:rRNA from 1 species